rnacentral:rRNA from 1 species
UCCUAUGGGGGGCAGCAGUGAGGAAUAUUGGUCAAUGGGCUUACGCCUGAACCAGCCAAGUCGCGUGAGGGAAGACUGCCCUAUGGGUUGUAAACCUCUUUUGUCAGGGAGCAAUUGGCGCUACGUGUAGCGUUAUCGAGAGUACCUGAAGAAAAAGCAUCGGCUAACUCCGUGCCAGCAGCCGCGGUAAUACGGAGGAUGCGAGCGUUAUCCGGAUUUAUUGGGUUUAAAGGGUGCGCAGGCGGGAGAUCAAGUCAGCGGUAAAAUGUCGGGGCUCAACCCCGGCCGGCCGUUGAAACUGGGUU